rnacentral:rRNA from 1 species
GACGAACGCUGGCGGCAUGCCUAACACAUGCAAGUCGAACGAGAAAGUUUCCUUCGGGAAAUUAGUAAAGUGGCGCAAGGGUGAGUAUCACGUGAAUAAUCUGCCCUCGAGAUCGGGAUAACAUGGUGAAAACUAUGCUAAUACCGGAUAAGACCACAUUUCAUAAGAAAUGCGGUAAAAGGAGUCUCAAUCUUCACUCGAGGAUGAGUUCGCGCAACAUUAGCUUGUUGGUGAGAUAAAAGCUCACCAAGGCUACGAUGUUUAGCCGGCCUGAGAGGAUGAUCAGCCACAUUGGGGACUGAGACACGGCCCAAAACUUCUACGGAAGGCAGCAGUGGGGAUCUUGCACAAUGGGGGAAAACCCUGAUGCAGCGAUGCCGCGUGAGUGAAG